rnacentral:rRNA from 1 species
UACAGAGGGGGCAAGCGUUAUUCGGAAUUAUUGGGCGUAAAGGGCGCGUAGGCGGCAUGGCAAGUGGAUGGUGAAAUCCCCCGGCUCAACCGGGGAACUGCGUCCGAUACUGGUGGGCUCGAAUCCGGGAGAGGGAUGUGGAAUUCCAGGUGUAGCGGUGAAAUGCGUAGAUAUCUGGAGGAACACCGGUGGCGAAGGCGGCAUCCUGGACCGGUAUUGACGCUGAGGCGCGAAAGCCAGGGGAGCAAACGGG